GAUGAACGCUGGCGGCGUGCCUAAUACAUGCAAGUCGAGCGAACGGACGAGAAGCUUGCUUCUCUGAUGUUAGCGGCGGACGGGUGAGUAACACGUGGAUAACCUACCUAUAAGACUGGGAUAACUUCGGGAAACCGGAGCUAAUACCGGAUAAUAUUUUGAACCGCAUGGUUCAAAAGUGAAAGACGGUCUUGCUGUCACUUAUAGAUGGAUCCGCGCUGCAUUAGCUAGUUGGUAAGGUAACGGCUUACCAAGGCAACGAUGCAUAGCCGACCUGAGAGGGUGAUCGGCCACACUGGAACUGAGACACGGUCCAGACUCCUACGGGAGGCAGCAGUAGGGAAUCUUCCGCAAUGGGUGAAAGCCUGACGGAGCAACGCCGCGUGAGUGAUGAAGGUCUUCGGAUCGUAAAACUCUGUUAUUAGGGAAGAACAUAUGUGUAAGUAACUGUGCACAUCUUGACGGUACCUAAUCAGAAAGCCACGGCUAACUACGUGCCAGCAGCCGCGGUAAUACGUAGGUGGCAAGCGUUAUCCGGAAUUAUUGGGCGUAAAGCGCGCGUAGGCGGUUUUUUAAGUCUGAUGUGAAAGCCCACGGCUCAACCGUGGAGGGUCAUUGGAAACUGGAAAACUUGAGUGCAGAAGAGGAAAGUGGAACUCCAUGUGUAGCGGUGAAAUGCGCAGAGAUAUGGAGGAACACCAGUGGCGAAGGCGACUUUCUGGUCUGUAACUGACGCUGAUGUGCGAAAGCGUGGGGAUCAAACAGGAUUAGAUACCCUGGUAGUCCACGCCGUAAACGAUGAGUGCUAAGUGUUAGGGGGUUUCCGCCCCUUAGUGCUGCAGCUAACGCAUUAAGCACUCCGCCUGGGGAGUACGACCGCAAGGUUGAAACUCAAAGGAAUUGACGGGGACCCGCACAAGCGGUGGAGCAUGUGGUUUAAUUCGAAGCAACGCGAAGAACCUUACCAAAUCUUGACAUCCUUUGACAACUCUAGAGAUAGAGCCUUCCCCUUCGGGGGACAAAGUGACAGGUGGUGCAUGGUUGUCGUCAGCUCGUGUCGUGAGAUGUUGGGUUAAGUCCCGCAACGAGCGCAACCCUUAAGCUUAGUUGCCAUCAUUAAGUUGGGCACUCUAAGUUGACUGCCGGUGACAAACCGGAGGAAGGUGGGGAUGACGUCAAAUCAUCAUGCCCCUUAUGAUUUGGGCUACACACGUGCUACAAUGGACAAUACAAAGGGCAGCGAAACCGCGAGGUCAAGCAAAUCCCAUAAAGUUGUUCUCAGUUCGGAUUGUAGUCUGCAACUCGACUACAUGAAGCUGGAAUCGCUAGUAAUCGUAGAUCAGCAUGCUACGGUGAAUACGUUCCCGGGUCU
rnacentral:rRNA from 1 species